UUUCCUUGCAGAAAAUUGUGCAUAAGGGGGAUGAGUGUAUCCUGAAGGACAAUAAUGAGCGCAGCAAGUGGUACGUGACAGGCCCAGGAGGCGUGGACAUGCUCGUGCCUUCUGUGGGUCUGAUUAUUCCUCCACCAAAUCCACUGGCCGUGGACCUGUCUUGCAAGAUCGAGCAAUACUAUGAAGCCAUCUUGGCUCUGUGGAACCAGCUCUACAUCAACAUGAAGAGCCUGGUGUCCUGGCACUACUGCAUGAUCGACAUCGAGAAAAUCAGGGCCAUGACUA